AGCGUACACGGUGGAUGCCCUGGCAGUCAGAGGCGAUGAAGGGCGUGCUAAUCUGCGAUAAGCGCCGGUAAGGUGAUAUGAACCGUUAUAACCGGCGAUACCCGAAUGGGGAAACCCAGUGUGAUUCGUCACACUAUCAUUAACUGAAUCCAUAGGUUAAUGAGGCGAACCGGGGGAACUGAAACAUCUAAGUACCCCGAGGAAAAGAAAUCAACCGAGAUUCCCCCAGUAGCGGCGAGCGAACGGGGAGGAGCCCAGAGCCUGAAUCAGCAUGUGUGUUAGUGGAAGCGUCUGGAAAGGCGCGCGAUACAGGGUGACAGCCCCGUACACAAAAGCGCAUGUGCUGUGAGCUCGAUGAGUAGGGCGGGACACGUGGUAUCCUGUCUGAAUAUGGGGGGACCAUCCUCCAAGGCUAAAUACUCCUGACUGACCGAUAGUGAACCAGUACCGUGAGGGAAAGGCGAAAAGAACCCCGGCGAGGGGAGUGAAAAAGAACCUGAAACCGUGUACGUACAAGCAGUGGGAGCACCCUUUGGGGUGUGACUGCGUACCUUUUGUAUAAUGGGUCAGCGACUUAUAUUCUGUAGCAAGGUUAACCGAAUAGGGGAGCCGGAGGGAAACCGAGUCUUAAUUGGGCGUUAAGUUGCAGGGUAUAGACCCGAAACCCGGUGAUCUAGCCAUGGGCAGGUUGAAGGUUGGGUAACACUAACUGGAGGACCGAACCGACUAAUGUUGAAAAAUUAGCGGAUGACCUGUGGCUGGGGGUGAAAGGCCAAUCAAACCGGGAGAUAGCUGGUUCUCCCCGAAAGCUAUUUAGGUAGCGCCUCGUGAAUUCAUCUCCGGGGGUAGAGCACUGUUUCGGCUAGGGGGCCAUCCCGGCUUACCAACCCGAUGCAAACUGCGAAUACCGGAGAAUGUUAUCACGGGAGACACACGGCGGGUGCUAACGUCCGUCGUGAAGAGGGAAACAACCCAGACCGCCAGCUAAGGUCCCAAAGUCAUGGUUAAGUGGGAAACGAUGUGGGAAGGCCCAGACAGCCAGGAUGUUGGCUUAGAAGCAGCCAUCAUUUAAAGAAAGCGUAAUAGCUCACUGGUCGAGUCGGCCUGCGCGGAAGAUGUAACGGGGCUAAACCAUGCACCGAAGCUGCGGCAGCGACACUAUGUGUUGUUGGGUAGGGGAGCGUUCUGUAAGCCUGUGAAGGUGUGUCGUGAGGCAUGCUGGAGGUAUCAGAAGUGCGAAUGCUGACAUAAGUAACGAUAAAGCGGGUGAAAAGCCCGCUCGCCGGAAGACCAAGGGUUCCUGUCCAACGUUAAUCGGGGCAGGGUGAGUCGACCCCUAAGGCGAGGCCGAAAGGCGUAGUCGAUGGGAAACGGGUUAAUAUUCCCGUACUUGGUGUUACUGCGAAGGGGGGACGGAGAAGGCUAUGUUGGCCGGGCGACGGUUGUCCCGGUUUAAGCGUGUAGGUGUGUGUUCCAGGUAAAUCCGGUUCACUUUAACACUGAGGCGUGACGACGAGGCACUACGGUGCUGAAGCAACAAAUGCCCUGCUUCCAGGAAAAGCCUCUAAGCAUCAGGUAACAUCAAAUCGUACCCCAAACCGACACAGGUGGUCAGGUAGAGAAUACCAAGGCGCUUGAGAGAACUCGGGUGAAGGAACUAGGCAAAAUGGUGCCGUAACUUCGGGAGAAGGCACGCUGACACGUAGGUGAAGUGAUUUACUCAUGGAGCUGAAGUCAGUCGAAGAUACCAGCUGGCUGCAACUGUUUAUUAAAAACACAGCACUGUGCAAACACGAAAGUGGACGUAUACGGUGUGACGCCUGCCCGGUGCCGGAAGGUUAAUUGAUGGGGUCAGCGCAAGCGAAGCUCCUGAUCGAAGCCCCGGUAAACGGCGGCCGUAACUAUAACGGUCCUAAGGUAGCGAAAUUCCUUGUCGGGUAAGUUCCGACCUGCACGAAUGGCGUAAUGAUGGCCAGGCUGUCUCCACCCGAGACUCAGUGAAAUUGAACUCGCUGUGAAGAUGCAGUGUACCCGCGGCAAGACGGAAAGACCCCGUGAACCUUUACUAUAGCUUGACACUGAACAUUGAGCCUUGAUGUGUAGGAUAGGUGGGAGGCUUUGAAGUGUGGACGCCAGUCUGCAUGGAGCCGACCUUGAAAUACCACCCUUUAAUGUUUGAUGUUCUAACGUGGACCCGUGAUCCGGGUUGCGGACAGUGUCUGGUGGGUAGUUUGACUGGGGCGGUCUCCUCCUAAAGAGUAACGGAGGAGCACGAAGGUUGGCUAAUCCUGGUCGGACAUCAGGAGGUUAGUGCAAUGGCAUAAGCCAGCUUGACUGCGAGCGUGACGGCGCGAGCAGGUGCGAAAGCAGGUCAUAGUGAUCCGGUGGUUCUGAAUGGAAGGGCCAUCGCUCAACGGAUAAAAGGUACUCCGGGGAUAACAGGCUGAUACCGCCCAAGAGUUCAUAUCGACGGCGGUGUUUGGCACCUCGAUGUCGGCUCAUCACAUCCUGGGGCUGAAGUAGGUCCCAAGGGUAUGGCUGUUCGCCAUUUAAAGUGGUACGCGAGCUGGGUUUAGAACGUCGUGAGACAGUUCGGUCCCUAUCUGCCGUGGGCGCUGGAGAACUGAGGGGGGCUGCUCCUAGUACGAGAGGACCGGAGUGGACGCAUCACUGGUGUUCGGGUUGUCAUGCCAAUGGCACUGCCCGGUAGCUAAAUGCGGAAGAGAUAAGUGCUGAAAGCAUCUAAGCACGAAACUUGCCCCGAGAUGAGUUCU
rnacentral:rRNA from 1 species